AUGGUUAAGUGACUAAGCGUAC
rnacentral:rRNA from 1 species